CAGGUUCUCUGCUUUUUCCACGGUGACAUCUUUCAUGGACAGCUUGAGAGCUCCAACUCCAGCCUGGUAGGCAUUAAAUACCUUAACAGAAAAAGAAAAAAGGAGGAUGAAUGGUCCGGUUUCUCUAAGCCAGAAAGUGGAAAGAAAUGGUUCAGAUAUCUGUAAUAGACUAGUUCAUCUUAUCAGAACAUUUCUGCUCUAUAGAAAACUGUAACAACCACUAUUCAGUGUGUUGUCAAAGGCCACUAGAAGCAUCCAAAAGGUAAAAGGGUAAUAUUUUUCCAGCUGGGGUAGAAAAUAUGUGUUGUCUCUAUGUUCUGACAGCAGAAUAUCAGUACAAUACACCUUAAGAGACACCAUAUAGACCUUGUCCUACAAAGUUAAAAUAAAAGUCCUUGCAGAACGAUAAGACACGCACCUCAGCUGCUCCUCUCCCUCAACAAUAAGGUUGGUGGCCUCUACAGUCACCAAUUCUGAAAACUACAAAACUAAAGUCGCUUUGGAAAUACACACAUCCCUUUGGCGACCCUGUUCGCUCACCUCCCAUGUGAUACAUUGACAUCAAAAACCAUUCUGAGUUUCAAAUCCAGCUGCCCAACUGAAUGUGCCCAAUACUUACCAGCUGCUUUUUCCCACUUCUACAUGCACUCCGAGCUUCCUCUUUAUAUCUAUAAAAAUAAGAUGUGAACUGCUCAGUUUGGCUUUUAACUUUGUCUUUAUUGAUGUUGUGAAAUGUGUUAUAUUGGUCUUUUAUAUGAUUGUUUUUAUGAUUGAAUGUUUUAUACUAUUCACCUGUAUUGCCUAAUUUAUUGUUUAUUUUUCUGACAUUGAAUGUUAGCCUUUUAUGUUGUUAGCCACCCUGAGUCCCCAUGGAGAGAUGGGGCAGAAUAUAAAUAAAGUUUGUUUGAUUGAUUGUUACA